rnacentral:lncRNA from 1 species
AAUUUGUAAGAGUUUGUUGCCACCAUUUGAAACGUAAUCUGUAAGUUGUUAGUUAACUUAACUACUUAUAAAUCCAUGUACAAAAAAUAUUUAGAAGGAAAUUAAAAUAUAUUAUAUUACUCCAAAGUUACUCUCUGCAAAAUAAUCAUUAUUGUUCGCUAUUUACUUUAAAAGUGUAUACAGUAUUCAUUUUACUUAUUGAGUAUUUUUGAUUCUUCUUGCUUUUAGAAAUGUUGGACUAACCUCUUUUUGAGCAGGAAGUAUACAAAAUGCACCAUUCUAAUGCUCCAUACCUUUAAUGCAAUCUUUCCUUACUUUAUAAGCAGUAUACUUACUUUGAUCUUCGAAAUGUAAUACUAAUAAAAAAAUUGAUUGAGUCUAAUUAGCCCAUCAACACUUAUCGUGAUCAUAUGAUCCAAGACUGGUUCUAUCUGUUCUUGAGAUCGGCCCUUAAGACUGUCAGUCCUUCGGACUGUCAAUUUAAAAAAAAUAAGAAAUAAAGGUAAGUGACGUCAUCAAGGCCCGAGCUUUAUAAAUGUUAGGACCGGUAUGCAAGACUGAAAUAGACUGAACCGAGGCUAGACGGGACUCUAGUCUUCAUAGAGUCUUAAAUGAGGACUGCCAAACAUCUAGUAUUAUAUAACAAUAUUUCUCUAAUCAAUAUAUAGAUUUUUUAUUCCAAACUUUAGUUGGAAUAAUUUACAAAUAUGUCCCAAAUUAAGGGCAAUACAUUGUAAUAAUUUUAUCUUGCGUGAUGUUUUGAUCGGUAGCUUUAUUUUGAAAAGUAAAAGAUAAUAGAAAACGCCUUUAAUAUUUAUCUCCCUAGUGUGAUCAAAUGAACAAAGUCUUUUUUAGGGAAAACCUAUUCAUUUUCGUCAUUAAUAAUUUUAUCUCUAAUUUACAUCCAUAUUUAUCUCAA